rnacentral:lncRNA from 1 species
CCCUGGCCGAGGAAAUUUUGUUGUGGGUGCUUCCAGAAAGAGAGAGAGAGAAAUUUAAUGAAAAGCAAAUGCAAAGAUACAGAGAUGUGCCUGAGUCAUUAGGAAGACCAGAGAAUAGGCUUUGGUCUGAGCUUUGUGGAAUGACUUCAAAAGCCACACGGCACACCCAGGGCAUGCAGGGAACGGCUGCCUCUUCCAAAGUCAGAAAACUGGUGAAUCAGGAAGCCUCCUGUCAUCUUCUAGAUCCAGAAUGAUGCUGCUUUGCUCAAAAUUCUUGCAAGCAAAACAUGUGUCUUUCUAUCCUACCACUUUCUUCAGGAGUCACUUCCAAAGUGAGCAGCGGACAGGGUGUUAAUGUCUCUGAAUGGUAGAUUCUCAAUGUCACCCUAAGUACUCACUGCAGGGGAGUCUGGGGAAUGUAGUUUUCAUCUCCCCUUUUGCACACCAGAUAAGCAAUGGAAUGAGCAUUCAAUAAGUCAAUCCGCUGCACCUUCCUCCUUGGAUAAACAAAUUUGUUUUGACAGAUCUCUUGGCCUUUCUCAACUUUUAUUGUGUCUAAAGUGAGAUCGUAAUCCUGUGCCUCCUGCUUCUUGGGGCUGUUUGGUCAGAAUGAAAUACUGCAUGUCACGCAUUUGGCAAACAGCAAUAGAGAGCUGUGAGAGUUGGUCAUUAAUGCAGAUAUUUGAGAUGAUGUGACCGAAAUACAGAAGUUAUUUCCCACCAAAAUGGAAACGUGUAUGUUGCCUCGUGAGUGUGAAUAGGAAGGAAACAGCAUAACAUUCAUCCAGUAAUGAAUAAGGGCUGCGGGCUUUCACGGAUGCCUUCAUUAUGUCCCUGUAUUUGCGAAUCAUAAUGAUGCUGGCAGUUAAGAGCACUUUCCACACCGAGAUUAUUUGGUUUUGCUAAAUGCUGUAGUAGGAUGGGGCUAUCAUAAGGCAGGUAACGCUGCUCCCCCAAGUAUUCUAGUUAUUUAAAAAUACUUGACUCUCCUGUGUGUAGGAAAAAAAGGCCAAAGGAUGGGUUUCAAAAUGCAGAAAGAAAAAAAUCCAAAAGAAAAAAAUCCAGUUCUUGGUUCCUAAAGAAUUUUUGUUCAGAUGCUCCCUGUUGUUUUGAUAUGUAAAAAGGGGAGAAACUCUGCGAGGGGCCAUCAAGUACGGUAUCAUUGGGGUGAUGAAUGAUUACAUAGAUGGAGAAAGCGUAAUUCUCAAUCUAAACACUCACGUGAAUUGGUGAGAGGAGACGCAAAGUUUACCAAUGAAAAUUUUUAAAAGGAGCAUAAGUCUUUAUCUGGAUUUAUUCUUUCUCCCUCUUGGAAUGUAAAUAAGAAUGUCGAAAGGUGGAAUUGGUCCAAUACAAAUUACCUCGCGUGUUUAUUCACAAAUAAGCUUUUUUUUUUUUUUAAUUGGCUGUUUCAGGGACUGUACGAUCAAGGGGCAAGUAAGUGGCUGGCCUUGUACUCACCUGGCGUUUGAUUUCUCGUCCAUCACGCAUGAGUUUGCGACGGUUGUUAAUUUCCCUAGAUUUUUGGAGCCUCUGUUUCCUCAUCCUGAAAACAUAGAUCCUAAUUCCGGGUUCAGGGUUUUUGUAAAAAUGGAACGAAGUCAUGAAAGUAGAGUGUUCAGCAAAAUGCUUGGCAUCGAGUAAGGGUUCGUAUGGGCAUCGGCAUGGCUUAGGCCCCACAUGUGUUCCCCUCAACGCAGGGUCCCUAAAAUGCAGAUUGGUAUCUCUAGCCAGGUGGCUGGCCAGCACACAGCGAGGAUUUUACAGAUUUGGACUACGGGUGGCCCAGAAAUGACCCCCUUUCAUAGCCAGAGUGGGUGGAGGUUAAUGGUAGGGAAGGUGCCAGCAGUGACGGGUACCGUGGGCAUAAUCUCCAGUCUUGACGGCACCAGUGAUCAGAUGGAUCCGGGGGAAGAAGCAAGAAAAAUCCCGCACAAGUACUCUGUUCCUUAUUGAGUUAUCGGAUAAGGAGUGUUUGGGCGGGAGAUACACGGAAGGUGAGACCAUCCCCUGCAGACAGGAAGAACCAGGGACACCGGGACAUGUCCCAAAGCUGUAAUUCAGGGGCAAGAUUCCAGGGACUAAGAGGAGAUGAAAAUGAGGACUGAGGCCCAAAGGGGUAAGUUUAUUCGACAGGCUUCCCAGGCGGAUCUUCUUGCACAGGAGACUAAGGAGCCUCUGAAGUCUGUAACGACAUCAAAGAUAAGGCGUUCACUUAAGACUGGAGCACGAGCUUAGGCCAAAUCUUAGGAAAACAAAGCAAAACAAAACGGAUGAGACCUCUCAGCAUAAGUUGGACGGGUCUGAGUUGCGGGGCGGGAGCUGUGAGCUGGGUCGUUGGUCCAACACAGGACACUUCCUCUGACUCAAUAAGAAUAAAAAGCAGGUGGGUGAACAGUCCGCUCCACCCUGUUUUUACGGAAUGUGAAGGUAUUUCUCAUUUGACUUCAACUGUUUUUGGACUCAAAAGAUGUAAUUUAAAUUCCCGGUCCCUCUCUUUUGUUUUUUUUUUUUUUUUUGUCUUUUUGCCAUUUCUUGGGCCGCUCCCGCGGCAUAUGGAGGUUCCCAGGCUAGGGGUCCAAUCGGAGCUGUAGCCCCCGGCCUGCGCCAGAGCCACAGCAACGCGGGAUCCGAGCCGCGUCUGCAACCUACACCACAGCUCACGGCAACGCCGGAUCGUCAACCCACUGAGCAAGGGCAGGGACCGAACCCGCAACCUCAUGGUUCCUAGUCGGAUUCGUUAACCACUGCGCCACGACGGGAACUCCGGUCCCUCUCUUUUUAAGCAAGUCCAUCAACGUGCGAAACACUCCAUGCUGAUCCUGACUAUUCAGUUGGGAAAUCCAAUGUGGUAACUGGCACGAAAAGAUAAAGUAAUCUGGGAGUUCCCUUUGUGGCUCAGUGGUCAUGAAUCAGACUGUUAUCCAUGAGGACACUGGUUCAAGCCCUGGCCUUGAUCGGUGGGUUAAGGAUCCAGUGUUGCUGUGGCUGUGGUGUCGGCCGGCAGUUGUAGUUCCAGUUUGACCCCUGGCCUGGGAACUUCCAUAUGCUGUGGGUGCAGCCCUAAAAAAAAAAAAAAAAAAAAAAAA